GACGAACGCUGGCGGCGUGCUUAACACAUGCAAGUCGAACGGACAGGCCCUGCUUUUGUGGGGUGCUCGAGUGGCGAACGGGUGAGUAACACGUGAGUAACCUGCCCUUGACUUUGGGAUAACUUCAGGAAACUGGGGCUAAUACCGGAUAGGAGCUCCUGCUGCAUGUUGGGGGUUGGAAAGUUUCGGCGGUUGGGGAUGGACUCGCGGCUUAUCAGCUUGUUGGUGGGGUAGUGGCUUACCAAGGCUUUGACGGGUAGCCGGCCUGAGAGGGUGACCGGCCACAUUGGGACUGAGAUACGGCCCAGACUCCUACGGGAGGCAGCAGUGGGGAAUAUUGCACAAUGGGCGGAAGCCUGAGGCAGCAACGCCGCGUGCGGGAUGACGGCCUUCGGGGUGUAAACCGCUUUCGCCUGUGACGAAGCGUGAGUGACGGUAAUGGGUAAAGAAGCACCGGCUAACUACGUG
rnacentral:rRNA from 1 species